rnacentral:rRNA from 1 species
GUCUACAGCCAUGCCACCCUGAACAAGCCCAAUGAUGUCGGAAGCUAAGCAGGGUCGGGCCUGGUUGGUACUUUGGUGGGAGACCACCUAGGAAGACCAGGUACUGUAGGCA